rnacentral:rRNA from 1 species
UACGGAGGGGGCUAGCGUUGCUCGGAAUCACUGGGCGUAAAGGGUGCGUAGGCGGGUCUUAAGUCAGGGGUGAAAUCCUGGAGCUCAACUCCAGAACUGCCUUUGAUACUGAGGAUCUUGAGUUCGGGGAGAGGUGAGUGGAACUGCGAGUGUAGAGGUGAAAUUCGUAGAUAUUCGCAAGAACACCAGUGGCGAAGGCGGCUCACUGGCCCGAUACUGACGCUGAGGCACGAAAGCGUGGGGAGCAAACAGGGA